UUACUGAGUUUACGCUCUACAACCCUUUGUGAACAUACCUAUAACUGUUGCUUCGGCGGGUAGGGUCUCCGCGACCCUCCCGGCCUCCCGCCUCCGGGCGGGUCGGCGCCCGCCGGAGGAUAACCAAACUCUGAUUUAACGACGUUUCUUCUGAGUGGUACAAGCAAAUAAUCAAAACUUUUAACAACGGAUCUCUUGGUUCUGGCAUCGAUGAAGAACGCAGCGAAAUGCGAUAAGUAAUGUGAAUUGCAGAAUUCAGUGAAUCAUCGAAUCUUUGAACGCACAUUGCGCCCGCCAGCAUUCUGGCGGGCAUGCCUGUUCGAGCGUCAUUUCAACCCUCAAGCUCUGCUUGGUGUUGGGGCCCUACAGCUGAUGUAGGCCCUCAAAGGUAGUGGCGGACCCUCUCGGAGCCUCCUUUGCGUAGUAACUUUACGUCUCGCACUGGGAUCCGGAGGGACUCUUGCCGUAAAACCCCCAAUUUUCCAAAGGUUGACCUCGGAUCAGGUAGGAAUACCCGCUGAACUUAAGCAUAUCAAUAAGCGGAGGAAAAGAAACCAACAGGGAUUGCCUCAGUAACGGCGAGUGAAGCGGCAACAGCUCAAAUUUGAAAUCUGGCCCUAGGCCCGAGUUGUAAUUUGCAGAGGAUGCUUUUGGUGCGGUGCCUUCCAAGUUCCCUAGAACGGGACGCCAGAGAGGGUGAGAGCCCCGUACAGUUGGACACCAAGCCUUUGUAAAGCUCCUUCGACGAGUCGAGUAGUUUGGGAAUGCUGCUCAAAAUGGGAGGUAUAUUUCUUCUAAAGCUAAAUACCGGCCAGAGACCGAUAGCGCACAAGUAGAGUGAUCGAAAGAUGAAAAGCACUUUGAAAAGAGGGUUAAACAGCACGUGAAAUUGUUAAAAGGGAAGCGCUUGUGACCAGACUUGCGUCCGGUGAAUCACCCAGCUCUCGCGGCUGGGGCACUUCGCCGGCUCAGGCCAGCAUCAGCUCGCUGUCGGGGACAAAAGCUUCAGGAACGUAGCUCUCUUCGGGGAGUGUUAUAGCCUGUUGCAUAAUACCCUUCGGCGGGCGAGGUACGC
rnacentral:misc_RNA from 1 species